rnacentral:rRNA from 1 species
AUCCAGAGAACUUAGCAGNGAUGCUUUGGUGCCUUCGGGAACUCUGAGACAGGUGCUGCAUGGCUGUCGUCAGCUCGUGUUGUGAAAUGUUGGGUUAAGUCCCGNAACGAGCGCAACCCUUAUCCUUUGUUGCCAGCGGUUCGGCCGGGAACUCAAAGGAGACUGCCGGUGAUAAACCGGAGGAAGGUGGGGAUGACGUCAAGUCAUCAUGGCCCUUACGGCCAGGGCUACACACGUGCUACAAUGGCGCAUACAAAGAGAAGCGACCUCGCGAGAGCAAGCGGACCUCAUAAAGUGCGUCGUAGUCCGGAUUGGAGUCUGCAACUCGACUCCAUGAAGUCGGAAUCGCUAGUAAUCGUAGAUCAGAAUGCUACGGUGAAUACGUUCCCGGGCCUUGUACACACCGCCCGUCACACCAUGGGAGUGGGUUGCAAAAGAAGUAGGUAGCUUAACCUUCGGGAGGGCGCUUACCACUUUGUGAUUCAUGACUGGGGUGAAGUCGUAACAAGGUAAGCGUAGCGAG